GGAGGGCUAAUAUGCCGAGCCAACAAAGGCGAUUUGCUUGGAUACAGCUUGUCAAUGUCUGCCAAGCGAUUCAGAUGAUCAGCCCAAGCUUGCUCAGGGUCGAAUGGUUUCGCUGUAUUGUGAUAUUCAUGGCAAUGAAACAAAAAUUCGCUCGUGGCAAUCAUGCAUCCCUGUCUAUCUCACCCUUCUGAACUUUUUGAUGUUGGCUCAAAAUAAUUGGAUAUUCAUUGCAAUUAUUCUAUUCGAUAGGGUUUGAUCUAUACAGAAACGCAUCGAUAAACUUAUGCAACAUCGAGAAUUCAACAGUUCAUCAAGCAUUACGUGACUUUUAACAUUUAACGUGCGUUGUUAUAUGAAAUAUUGAUUUGUAAUUGAAGACAAAGCGAAUUUCUCGAUGUUACGUGCUUAAACAAAUGAAGAUUAUUGAGAAUGCUUGUUAUGUGUAAUCAAACUGCGACCUCCACCUCAGCUGCAAUAAUUAAUGUCUCCUAAAUAUUAUUUGUCAUUAUGGGCGAAAAAGCAAAAAAAUGAAAAGUCCUUCAAUUUUACACCAAAAAAUAAAAAAUCAAAAAUCUGAAGUGCAAGCGAAACGCAACGAAAAAUAUUGUUGCAUUCCAAUAUAAACUCGUCUGUGAAUAAUUUGAAUAACCAUCUUAAAAAAUACCACCAAAAAUGUCAUAAUGCUAUAGAUGUAUAAUAUCAUAUUAUGUGAAAGUUAUGCACGUUAGUAUCCAAUUAUAUUAUUUGUAAUGGAAGAAGCAACCUUGAACGGUUAAUUGAUUUUCGACAGACUGUAGCAUAUCAAUUCAUCAUAUCUGCUGCUAAAUUAUUUUCUAUAAAUUAUGUUAUUUUUUAAAAUUGCUUAUUCACAUUAUAAGACAACAUAUGUUGUAUUUAGUCUGUAUGAAGAUCUGUAGCAUGUUAUAUUAUCGAUUUAAUGAUACAGAAAUUAUACUAGUAUCACAAAUGAUUAUUGAUUAUUGAUACUAUCUACGUUCAAAUAAUUUUUAAUAAACUUUUUUAUUAUCAUGAUCGAGUUAAUCGUUAAUUGAUUUCUAAAACUAUUUUUAUCUCAUCAUGAUAUAUAUUAAUUUAAACACUAAUGAACACCAGUAGAGCGUUGAUCAUCAGUGGAUGUCAAGUGCUCCGUUCUUUUUUUGUCAAUUGAAUCUUAUUUUUCAUUUGAAAAAAAGAAAAAAUAAUUAUCGUAUUAUUUUAAAAAGAAAAAUAAAAAUGAAUCCAGUUUAACGAAUUAUAUAAUCGCGAGGCAGACAAGUUUUGGGGCACAUUUUAAAUAUAAUUAUAUAUAUUUAUACGUAUGUAUAGAUGCAUUUUUAUAUAGCGAUAUAAGUAUAAUAACUUAGAUACAAAGUGCAUGGAGUAAAAUAAAUUAGUAUUACACAUAUCAUGACAUGGUUUCGUGUACGUGAAGAGGUAUUGAGACACGGAUUAUAGAAUUAAAUUAUGAAUUUGAGAUAAAUUAACACGAUAAAAAUACGUAUAUGUCCGAGAGUGCAUAUACAUUUUACAUGUCGAAUAGGGAUGAUAUAUAAUACAAAAGUUUUUUCAAAAGGGUGAAGGUAGAACAUCCCAUAUAUUUUACAUUUUCUUGUUUCUUUUUACUCAUUUUCACUUUUUUUCUUUCUUUUUUAGUCACGAUUGAGGUGCAGGCAAAGGUGGAGGGCUUUUCUAAGGAUACAAGACGGAUCCUCCAAGAUGGCGUUUUUGGCUUCUGAGAAAGACUUUGGAGGGAAAAUUCGCAAAUUCUGGAAUAUUUACACCUCCGAC